AGAGAGUGAAGACUCCCAACUUAAAUGGGCAGUAAAUAUCUUCAAGAAAAUUAUAGAUGAAAACUUCCCUAACCUAAAGAAAGAGAUGCCCAUAAACAUACAAGAAGCCUCAGAACUCCAAAUAGAUUGGACCAGAAAAGAAAGUCCUCAUGUCACAUAAUAGUCAAAACACCAAAUGCACUAAACAAAGAAAGAAUAUUAAAAGCAGUAAGGGAAAAAGGUCAAGUAAUAUAUAAAGGCAGACCUAUCAGAAUGACACCAGACUUCUCACCAGAGACUAUGAAGGCCAGAAGAUCCUGGACUGAUGUCAUACAGACCCUAAGAGAACACAAAUGCCAGCCCAGGUUACUGUAUCCAACAAAACUCUCAAUUAACAUAGAUGGAGAAACCAAGAUAUUCCAUGACAAAACCAAAUUUACACAAUAUAUUUCCACAAACCCAGCACUACAAAAGAUAA
rnacentral:lncRNA from 1 species